rnacentral:rRNA from 1 species
CGUACACAAAAAUGCACAUAUUGUGAGCUCGAUGAGUAGGGCGGGACACGUGGUAUCCUGUCUGAAUAUGGGGGGACCAUCCUCCAAGGCUAAAUACUCCUGACUGACCGAUAGUGAACCAGUACCGUGAGGGAAAGGCGAAAAGAACCCCGGCGAGGGGAGUGAAAAAGAACCUGAAACCGUGUACGUACAAGCAGUGGGAGCCUCUUUUAUGGGGUGACUGCGUACCUUUUGUAUAAUGGGUCAGCGACUUAUAUUCUGUAGCAAGGUUAACCGAAUAGGGGAGCCGAAGGGAAACCGAGUCUUAACUGGGCGUUAAGUUGCAGGGUAUAGACCCGAAACCCGGUGAUCUAGCCAUGGGCAGGUUGAAGGUUGGGUAACACUAACUGGAGGACCGAACCGACUAAUGUUGAAAAAUUAGCGGAUGACUUGUGGCUGGGGGUGAAAGGCCAAUCAAACCGGGAGAUAGCUGGUUCUCCCCGAAAGCUAUUUAGGUAGCGCCUCGUGAAUUCAUCUCCGGGGGUAGAGCACUGUUUCGGCAAGGGGGUCAUCCCGACUUACCAACCCGAUGCAAACUGCGAAUACCGGAGAAUGUUAUCACGGGAGACACACGGCGGGUGCUAACGUCCGUCGUGAAGAGGGAAACAACCCAGACCGCCAGCUAAGGUCCCAAAGUCAUGGUUAAGUGGGAAACGAUGUGGGAAGGCCCAGACAGCCAGGAUGUUGGCUUAGAAGCAGCCAUCAUUUAAAGAAAGCGUAAUAGCUCACUGGUCGAGUCGGCCUGCGCGGAAGAUGUAACGGGGCUAAACCAUGCACCGAAGCUGCGGCAGCGACACUAUGUGUUGUUGGGUAGGGGAGCGUUCUGUAAGCCUGUGAAGGUGGCCUGUGAGGGUUGCUGGAGGUAUCAGAAGUGCGAAUGCUGACAUAAGUAACGAUAAAGCGGGUGAAAAGCCCGCUCGCCGGAAGACCAAGGGUUCCUGUCCAACGUUAAUCGGGGCAGGGUGAGUCGACCCCUAAGGCGAGGCCGAAAGGCGUAGUCGAUGGGAAACAGGUUAAUAUUCCUGUACUUGGUGUUACUGCGAAGGGGGGACGGAGAAGGCUAUGUUGGCCGGGCGACGGUUGUCCCGGUUUAAGCGUGUAGGCUGGUUUUCCAGGCAAAUCCGGAAAACCAAGGCUGAGGCGUGAUGACGAGGCACUACGGUGCUGAAGUGACAAAUGCCCUGCUUCCAGGAAAAGCCUCUAAGCAUCAGGUAACAUCAAAUCGUACCCCAAACCGACACAGGUGGUCAGGUAGAGAAUACCAAGGCGCUUGAGAGAACUCGGGUGAAGGAACUAGGCAAAAUGGUGCCGUAACUUCGGGAGAAGGCACGCUGAUAUGUAGGUGAAGCGACUUGCUCGUGGAGCUGAAAUCAGUCGAAGAUACCAGCUGGCUGCAACUGUUUAUUAAAAACACAGCACUGUGCAAACACGAAAGUGGACGUAUACGGUGUGACGCCUGCCCGGUGCCGGAAGGUUAAUUGAUGGGGUUAGCGGUAACGCGAAGCUCUUGAUCGAAGCCCCGGUAAACGGCGGCCGUAACUAUAACGGUCCUAAGGUAGCGAAAUUCCUUGUCGGGUAAGUUCCGACCUGCACGAAUGGCGUAAUGAUGGCCAGGCUGUCUCCACCCGAGACUCAGUGAAAUUGAACUCGCUGUGAAGAUGCAGUGUACCCGCGGCAAGACGGAAAGACCCCGUGAACCUUUACUAUAGCUUGACACUGAACAUUGAGCCUUGAUGUGUAGGAUAGGUGGGAGGCUUUGAAGUGUGGACGCCAGUCUGCAUGGAGCCGACCUUGAAAUACCACCCUUUAAUGUUUGAUGUUCUAACGUUGGCCCGUAAUCCGGGUUGCGGACAGUGUCUGGUGGGUAGUUUGACUGGGGCGGUCUCCUCCUAAAGAGUAACGGAGGAGCACGAAGGUUGGCUAAUCCUGGUCGGACAUCAGGAGGUUAGUGCAAUGGCAUAAGCCAGCUUGACUGCGAGCGUGACGGCGCGAGCAGGUGCGAAAGCAGGUCAUAGUGAUCCGGUGGUUCUGAAUGGAAGGGCCAUCGCUCAACGGAUAAAAGGUACUCCGGGGAUAACAGGCUGAUACCGCCCAAGAGUUCAUAUCGACGGCGGUGUUUGGCACCUCGAUGUCGGCUCAUCACAUCCUGGGGCUGAAGUAGGUCCCAAGGGUAUGGCUGUUCGCCAUUUAAAGUGGUACGCGAGCUGGGUUUAGAACGUCGUGAGACAGUUCGGUCCCUAUCUGCCGUGGGCGCUGGAGAACUGAGGGGGGCUGCUCCUAGUACGAGAGGACCGGAGUGGACGCAUCACUGGUGUUCGGGUUGUCAUGCCAAUGGCACUGCCCGGUAGCUAAAUGCGGAAGAGAUAAGUGCUGAAAGCAUCUAAGCACGAAACUUGC